rnacentral:lncRNA from 1 species
CUUAGCCACUAAGUAGCACUGUCCUCCAUCACAGGAAGUCACCUGCAAGCCCAGCCAGAGACAAGUGUGGGCAGGUUCUGGAUUCAGUAGGAUUCUGUGCUGCUGUCAAGUCCAAGGAUUCACAGUAGGUUUGUCUUGGGAAGUCCCCUUGGUGAGCACUCCACAACCAGCUGCAGGAGUUGUGUCUGCUGGGCAUCAUGACAGGCAACAAGGACACCCUGCAGGGACCCUAUAUUGGCAUCAUGGCAGAGGGCAAAUGGCACUGAAGCAAAGAGAAGCAGAGGGCAAGAGCACACUCGGUGAUUUAGUGCAUCCAAGACAGUUUUUCAAAAGCAUUGACACAUGUGACGAGGCUUGAUUUAAUCAGAUGAGAGGAGGGAGAGAGAGGAAGAAAGUGUUUUAGAAAAAUGCAGCCGGGCCCAGGUGGGCAAAGGCCCGCCGUCUCUCAGGCCCACCUCAUCUCCUUACUCCCCGACCUCUUGGUUCCAUUCACAAGCACCCGUGACCACCUCAGGCAUUGUCUGCAUCCUGGGGGUUGGCCCUCACCCCUGCCCCACCGGGUGUGCCGGGCUACUGCUUCCUGGCUCCGUGCACUUGCUGCCAACCCAGCUCUGAGGUGCCUAAGGAGAAGAGGCGCAUGCAGCAGGUGAGGAGGCAGGAGCAGGAGACAGAGGCAGAGGGUCCACACCAGGCCGGGGCCUGGGUAAGGCUGGAGCCUGCUUAAGGCUGGCGUGGUGCGUGGAGAGCGGAGGGUGGGUCUGGGAUGGUGGCAGUGGAGGGACCCCAGAACUGGUUUUACCAGGCCCCUUUGAUGAGUUCAGGUGGCCGUCUUGUUUCUGCUCUUUUUUCCUGUCCUAACAGCAGAAGAUUCAGAUCUGAGUUUCUGGAAGCGACGUCGAUGAGAGUGGAGCACGUCUCCUGGUGUGUCUUUACUCCUCGCCAGCUGGGCACUGAGAAGGCGGGAGACUUGGGUAUUCCUAUCACAUGAUCCACUGCCUUUGGGGGCCCACCCCAGCCGGGUGCCUCCAGGAGGACUGUCCGGCCGUCAGCCUUCAGAGAACCUGCAUUCUGUGAAAGAUCAGAAUUCAUCUCUGAGAAGCACUAAAUCUACGAGGCUGUUCCAAACCUUUCUCGUCUAUGUUCU